GUUGCGACGGAUUUUCGUUGUCUGUCUCUCUGGUGUUCAUAUCAUACGUUACAAACAACGCCAGUAUUUACAUAAGCGACAUCACGUCAGUACAGUAGCUAACACUGGUGGCAGUUCCUGUUAAAAUAUGCUUUUGUCACCGUUGAUAUUUUAACAUGUCACAGCAAGAGAAGCACAGGUGCCAUUAAUAUAACUGAUAACGGCUGCAUUACAUUCAGUCCAAUAUUGUGCGUGCUAGCUCACUAACAUAGUUGACACACUUAAAUGGAGCAAUUUUUUCAUUAGUGGUGAUAAUUUUACUUGUGCUUAUUAAUUAUACUUGUUUGACUAAAACUGACGUGAAAAAUGCUAGUAACACACCUGAAAUUAAACUGUUGAAGGAAGCAGUGAAAUAUCCACUUGAGCCACUGUCAGUGUCAGCAUCGUCUUCCUCUUCUGAAUCUCUCUGGCUUUCAUCUGACAUUGUUAAAACAUGGUAUCUCACACAGCUUUGAUGUAGUAUUUAUUUACAGUGUAAAGUGUGCCUCUCACUUCCAUCAUGGCAACUGAGGGGUGUGCUUUAAAGAGGCUAAUCUGCUAAGAGGAUUCAAGAGUUCUCCAACUUCACAAUAAAGUUUUAUGGAUAUCAGCAGUUCCAGCCUUCUAGAAGUCUCUGGGUGCUGCCUGGGAGCUCCACAUGUAGCUCUGCUGAGGGACAUUAUAACCUCUUGUGAACCAAUGAAGAAACCUGGGAGGGAAUGAAUAUCCAGCACACAGGCAGAUAAUUACAAUUUCAAAACCAUUUGCCAGAUCAUUACCAGCUAAUCCCAUGUUUGGUCUGAUGAGUCACGCACCUCAUUUGCCACGGUGCAGGGCAGCUUGGGACUCUUUCACAAAUACUAGCCAAGGACCACUGGUCUGCCCUGUAGGGCCACCGGACCGCUGGGGUUGGGGUUGAGGGUGGGUGGUGGGGUGUUCCUCUGGGAUAAGCAUGGAUCACAAGACCCAACAGAGUGGAAAUUGUUGUGUGAGUGUUGUGUGAAGCUGGAUGAGAUUUUUAAUUAUUAUUUAGACUUAUGUUCGCUGUAAAAGACUGUAUCCACUGUGACUAAUUGUCAUCAUUAUCUUGUCUGAAGCAUAAAAAGCUUUUCACCGGUACAGUUCAUACUACCUACAUUUGAAAUGUUGCUUUGCUGAAAUAAAUUAAUUACCCUUUUAUUUGUGUUUAUUUAAGUCAUGCCUAAUUAAAAA